rnacentral:rRNA from 1 species
UCGAGCGGAACUAUUUAAGUUUACUUAGAUAGUUUAGCGGCGGACGGGUGAGUAACGCGUGAGUAACCUGCCUUAUACAGAGGGAUAGCCUUGGGAAACUGGGAUUAAAACCUCAUAAAGUAUAUUUAUCGCAUGAUAGAUAUACCAAAACUCCGGUGGUAUAAGAUGGACUCGCGUCCCAUUAGCUAGUUGGUAGAGUAAUAGCCUACCAAGGCGACGAUGGGUAGCCGGCCUGAGAGGGUGAACGGCCACACUGGAACUGAGACACGGUCCAGACUCCUACGGGAGGCAGCAGUGGGGAAUAUUGCACAAUGGAGGAAACUCUGAUGCAGCGACGCCGCGUGAGCGAAGAAGGUUUUCGGAUCGUAAAGCUCUGUCCUUGGAGAAGAUAAUGACGGUAUCCAAGGAGGAAGCCCCGGCUAACUACGUGCCAGCAGCCGCGGUAAUACGUAGGGGGCGAGCGUUGUCCGGAAUUACUGGGCGUAAAGGGUACGUAGGCGGUUAAAUAAGUCAGGUGUAAAAGGCAUUGGCUCAACCAAUGUAAGCACUUGAAACUGUUUGACUUGAGUAUAGGAGAGGUAAGUGGAAUUCCUAGUGUAGCGGUGAAAUGCGUAGAUAUUAGGAGGAACACCAGUGGCGAAGGCGACUUACUGGACUAUUACUGACGCUGAGGUACGAAAGCGUGNGGAGCAAACAGGAUUAGAUACCCNGGUAGUCCACGCU